CAUCCUCUCUGGGUUACCAUGGCAACACAUCUUCUCUCAGGGUAACCAUGGCAACACAUCUUCUCUCAGGGUAACCAUGACAACACAUCCUCUCUGGGUUACCAUGGCAACACAUCUUCUCUCAGGGUAACCAUGGCAACACAUCUUCUCUCAGGGUAACCAUGGCAACACAUCUUCUCUCUGGGUAACCAUGGCAACAGUUCUCCUCUCUGGGUUACCAUAGUGACACUGUUCUGGGCGCUGCACAACCCAUUCAAUUCAAUUCAAAUAUAUUUCUAUAGCGCCAUCUACAAGUCAAAUUGUAUCAAGAUGCUUUACAGAACCCAGAUGAACCCCCAGAGCAGAAAUAAGGAGACAGUGGCAGAAAAACACCCUUUAACAGGAAGACACCUGGAACAGAACCUGGAUCGUUAUGUGAGGGAACAUCUGCUGCUGGAAGGAGGUAGAGAGGAACAGAAGAGGUAGAGAGGAACAGAAGAGGUAGAGAGGAACAGAAGAGGUAGAGAGGAACAGAAGAGGUAGAGAGGAACAGAAGAGGUAGAGAGGAACAGAAGAGGUAGAGAGGAACAGAAGAGGUAGAGAGGAACAGAAGAGGUAGAGAGAAACAGAAGAGGUAGAGAGGAACAGAAGAGGUAGAGAGAAACAGAAGAGGUAGAGAGAAACAGAAGAGGUAGAGAGGAACAGAAGAUGUAGAGGAGAGGAACAAGGAACAUAGAACACACAGGUGGAUCCAUGUAUGAUCAGAUAGAUUACUCCCUCCAGGAAUCCGUGAUCGUGGAAUUUUCCGCAGACUUCAAAGCUCUCUGCAGAAAUCAAAGCUGUCUGCAGAAUAUAGGGCGAGAUGCAGAACAUUACAUUUUACAUGUAGUUUUCACCUCGUCAACACCAAUAGACGUUUUAAAAGGUCAGAAAACUGUUACCACCACAAUCACCAGCAAAACUGUGGCUGCUGAGGAGAGAGAAAAGGUUUGCUGUCAUAUUAGAAUUGUUGAAACCGUAAAAUGUUGACGGUAUUAAACAAGAAAUGAAGAAAAAUAAACUACGUGAGUGUAGUGGGCCAGUCUGAAAAGUGAACUACAUCAGCAAGUUAAAUAAAUGUAAAGAAGUGGAGCGUUUUUCUCCACAGCGUUAAUGACUGCUGUCUGUGCACAAACAUAAUGGACGUCGUUGCAGGAUGGGACAGCUCGAUAACAAAGACACACGGAGAGAGACGGGAUCACCAGCACACGCACACGCACACGCACACGCACCCACGCAGAGCUGAGCAGAACAUAUGGCAAACGUGUGCCAGCGAUCCCGUCUCUCUACCGUUGACUAGCAUGUCAGCUGUAUGAGGCAGAAGUUGGAUCUGUCAUAUUUUUAAAUAUAAUGAUUGUAGAACAUUUAAGUGAAGUGACUUACUUAUAAAGCCAGAAAACACAGGGAUAUAAGUGGCUGGGUCAGUCCUGGAUAGACGCGCACACACUCAGACACGGAUAGAAAAGAACGAACACAAUGUGCAGCGCUCAAUUGGGACAAGAAACACAGAACAAAUCAAAGGUUCCCCCAGUUUUCUUAACAGGUAUUGCAAAUAAUUUUCUUAAGAGAAUUCUUCCUUCAUUCAGUGGCGGUUCUCGACCAAUUUUACUGAGGGGGCCUGGCUGGGGCCGGGGUUUUUGUCAAAGGGGCGCAUUCAACCCGGGCCAAAAAAGACAAUGGCUGUGUCCGAAAUGGCAUACUAACGUACUACUCAUACUAAGUGUGACGUCAAAAUAAGUAUGUAGUGCGUUCACAUUAGAUAGUAUGAAAAGACUGAGUACACGACAAAUACCCGGAUGUAUACUAUAUCCGGAACAUUUUAAGUACACGCGGUGACCACACUAGUCACACUCAACCGCCCCAUAAUGCUUUGCGAGCUAUCCACCGAAAUGGAAGCCUCCGUGGGAUCUGUGGCCGGACCGGGGCGAUUUUUAUUGUAUUUUAUGUGGUUAAGUAGUCAUCCUAAUCACCCCACAGAUUUGAGAAAUAGGCGUUUUCUGACCAACGUUUUAAAUUUGUCAGACGCCUCACAACGUGCUACUGAAUGCUAGCAGCUAGUUGCAGCAGCUCGCUUUGCAUACAGAACAAGUAGCAGCUACCUCCAGUAGCCUGCAGCUACAACUGAAACGAUUCGCAUAAUCUGGCUAAUAACUGCAUGAGGAGUGCCGGCUUGAAAUUACCACAUUAAUUAUGCGACUGUUUGUUAGCGUAAAAUCGACCUGAAGCCGGCAUUCAGCCGAGAUAUUUGAUAGCCGUACUUCCGGUUUUUGUCGUCGGAGGUUUGAAAUGCAUUAUGGGAAACGGAGCAGUAUACUACAGUGUGAACGGUCGGCAUUCUAAUCAUACUUAUAGUAUGUAGUAUACAGUAUAU